rnacentral:rRNA from 1 species
UACGUAGGAUCCAAGCGUUGUCCGGAUUUACUGGGUGUAAAGGGUGCGCAGGCGGACUGAUAAGUCAGAGGUGAAAUCCCAUCGCUCAACGGUGGACCUGCCUUUGAUACUGUUGGUCUUGAAUAAGCGAGAGAUUCGUGGAAUUCCGAGUGUAGCAGUGAAAUGUGUAGAUAUUCGGAAGAACACCAGUGGUGAAGGCAGCGAAUUGGCGCUUUAUUGACGCUCAGGCACGAAAGCAUGGGGAUCAAACAGG